CAUCGCAGUCAGUUGAUAAUGAAUAUAUUCUCAAACAUAAACCAGCGCAGCGCAGACUAUUGUGGAGCUGUUUUUCUCCCUUAAAACUUUGGGGUGCUGCUCAUUUUUCAACCGAAAACAGGAUACUCAACGAGUCCUGAGUUUGCAAACAUAGGUUGCUGGGAUAUUUGGUUUCAACCAGAACUGUUGCAGAAACUCGCGAUUCGUAAGAUACAAUUAAGAAUGACUAGUCAACAAUUUGAGUAUAAUUAAGUAAUAAUAAAAUGAUAGUCUUAGUCUAGCUUAUUUGAUAAUUGGGGAACAUGGAAAUGACAAGGAAGUAUCACAGGGCGAGUGAAGACGGUAUGCCGUCUCACCGCCCUGCAUUUGCACGAUUUUGAAUUCGACUCGUAACUUUCGUCUCUCGACUCGGUUCGACUCGACUCCUCUAUUGUCAUUAAUGCCGUUAUUUAAACGGUCGCUAAAUGACCAAUGACAGAGUAGGAAAGUUGGUGUUAGCUUGCAAUUUGAAAUAACUAAUUCAGACGCACCAACAAAAUAUUUUUUCGAGUUUUGGAGGUUUUCGACUUAUCGAGGUUCGAGUUAAAGAGGUUCUACUGCAGAUAUAAAUGAAAUCAAAUAACCCAAGCCACCCAUUAAACUCUUAAACCCCAAACACUUUUGCAACCUCGAUGACAGGAUAGCACCAAAAACUAGUUCAGGCAACUUUUUCUUACAAUGGCUUAUUGGCUUAUAUUCAUAAUUGUUCAUUGUUAAAUUAUUACUCAACAAACAAAGUGACAAGUAAAACCUAGUUUCUAGAUGUAGUUGAAAACGUAAUAAACAAGCUGUGUGUCGCCUAUCAAUUUUUGACCCAAAAUGGGAUAUUUCGCGAGUUACAAAUCCCAAAAUUACUGUCUGAGUUUCUACAGCAGUUUUAGGCUAAAACUAUUCCGACUGAGUAUUUCACACAAGUAUUAAAAUCAUUGUCAGGAAUGAAUCGUAUAUUUUUGCCAUUGUAUAGGGUUUGACGUAGGUACUUGGAACUUUUUAGCCUACUCCGAGACUGUGUGGCUCUGUCGAUUUUUUGAUAUUUAACUUGUGUUGGUACAACUUUUUAUUUAUUCAAAAAAGGAAGAAAUUAAUUCAAAAACUCAUUCACUUGCUAACGGAUUUAAUAUUUAUUUCGUAUAAGUUUUACAACUGUUAUUUUAAAAUAAGCAUGUACCUGCGUCCUGUACAACGUAUGUCUUCUCUAUAUCGCCUAGACCAUUAUCUUCAAGAAUUUUCUCAACUUCAGCGGCACUUUCGCUUGA